rnacentral:rRNA from 1 species
CAUGAUCACAAAGUGGUAAGCGCCUCCCGAAGGUUAAGCUACUACUUCUUUUGCAACCCACUCCCAUGGUGUGACGGGCGGUGUGUACAAGGCCCGGGAACGUAUUCACCGUGGCGUUCUGAUCCACGAUUACUAGCGAUUCCGACUUCACGGAGUCGAGUUGCAGACUCCGAUCCGGACUACGACGCACUUUAUGAGGUCCGCUUGCUCUCGCGAGGGUCGCUUCUCUUUUGUAUGCGCCAUUGUAGCACGUGUGUAGCCCUGGCCGUAAGGGGCCAUGAUGACUUGACGUCAUCCCCACCUUCCUCCGGUUUAUCACCGGCAGUCUCCUUUGAGUUCCCGACCGAAUCGCUGGCAACAAAGGAUAAGGGUUGCGCUCGUUGCGGGACUUAACCCAACAUUUCACAACACGAGCUGACGACAGCCAUGCAGCACCUGUCUCACGGUUCCCGAAGGCACCAAGGCAUCUCUGCCAAGUUCCGUGGAUGUCAAGGCCAGGUAAGGUUCUUCGCGUUGCAUCGAAUUAAACCACAUGCUCCACCGCUUGUGCGGGCCCCCGUCAAUUCAUUUGAGUUUUAACCUUGCGGCCGUACUCCCCAGGCGGUCGACUUAACGCGUUAGCUCCGGAAGCCACUCCUCAAGGGAACAGCCUCCAAGUCGACAUCGUUUACGGCGUGGACUACCAGGGUAUCUAAUCCUGUUUGCUCCCCACGCUUUCGCACCUGAGCGUCAGUCUUUGUCCAGGGGGCCGCCUUCGCCACCGGUAUUCCUCCAGAUCUCUACGCAUUUCACCGCUACACCUGGAAUUCUACCCCCCUCUACAAGACUCUAGCCUGCCAGUUUCGAAUGCAGUUCCCAGGUUAAGCCCGGGGAUUUCACAUCCGACUUGACAGACCGCCUGCGUGCGCUUUACGCCCAGUGCGGGUAACGUCAAUGACGAAGCGUAUUAAGCUUCAUCCCUUCCUCCCCGCUGAAAGUACUUUACAACCCGAAGGCCUUCUUCAUACACGCGGCAUGGCUGCAUCAGGCUUGCGCCCAUUGUGCAAUAUUCCCCACUGCUGCCUCCCGUAGGAGUCUGGACCGUGUCUCAGUUCCAGUGUGGCUGGUCAUCCUCUCAGACCAGCUAGGGAUCGUCGCCUAGGUGAGCCGUUACCCCACCUACUAGCUAAUCCCAUCUGGGUUCAUCCGAUAGUGAGAGGCCCGAAGGUCCCCCUCUUUGGUCUUGCGACGUUAUGCGGUAUUAGCCACCGUUUCCAGUGGUUAUCCCCCUCUACCGGGCAGAUCCCCAGACAUUACUCACCCGUCCGCCACUCGCCACCCAAAGAGCAAGCUCUCUGUGU